rnacentral:lncRNA from 13 species
AUGGCCAACUGCAGCAGUGUAUCCAGACUCGUCCUUCUGGUCCUGCUAGGCCUCUGGGUAGCCACCAUCCACUCAGAGACCGUGGAAGACCCCACGCCAACUUUACAAGGGGACAACCAGGACACACUGUCCGGUGGCGGGACAUAUGACGUCACCACCAAAGAUCCCUUCAAGGACAUGACGGAGAGAGUGUUAACCUUCGAGUAUGAGGACACCACCCACUCACAGGUCAUGGAUGAGGAGGAAGGUGAGACAGGCGCUUCAUGUCAUUCAUUUUUCCUGAACAUUUCCCAUCAUCAGUUUAUUAAUAUCAAUCAUUUUGGUUGUACCCAGAGGAUUAAGAAAAUGAUAUAUUCUGCCUUUUGACUUGACAAUCAUGGUUUAUACACUAGUGUCUAAC